AUGUUCGCUCUCUUAGCGCCUCAUGGUCCUGGAGGCUGGAUUUGCAGACUAAGUCAGAGUUCCCGAGAGAACUAUGCUGGACUGUACAUCAUUUCUUCUGGAUCCAGCAAUCAACCCCUCAUUGGUUAUGUCCUGUCCCAGGUUACCCUGAGGGAGUCUGGCCCUGGGCUGUUGCAGCCCUCCCAGACUCUCAGUCUGACCUGCUCUUUCUCUGGGUUUUCACUGAGCACUUCUGGUAUGGGUGUGGGCUGGAUCCGCCAGCUCACAGGGAAGGGUCUGGAGUGGAUUGCAAACAUUUGGUGGAAUGAUGAUAAGUACUACAACUCAUCCCUAAAGAAGCAGCUCACAAUCUCCAAGGACACCUCCAACAACCAGGUAUUCCUGAAGAUCACCAGUGUGGACACUACAGAUACUGCCACAUACUACUGUGCUCGGAUAGCACAUUGA